UACAGAGGUCUCGAGCGUUAGGCGGAAUCACUGGGCUUAAAGCGUGUGUAGGCGGAUCGUUAAGUGCCUUGUGAAAUCCCACGGCUCAACCGUGGAACUGCUUGGCAUACUGGCGGUCUUGAGCAACCUAGGGGCGAGCGGAACAAAUGGUGGAGCGGUGAAAUGCGUAGAUAUCAUUUGGAACGCCAAUGGUGAAAUCAGCUCGCUGGGGGUUUGCUGACGCUGAGACACGAAAGCCAGGGGAGCGAACGGG
rnacentral:rRNA from 1 species